rnacentral:rRNA from 1 species
AACGAACGUUAGCGGCGCGCUUAACACAUGCAAGUCGAGCGAGAAAGGGCUUCGGCCCCGGUAAAGCGGCGCACGGGUGAGUAACACGUAGGUAAUCUGCCCUCAGGUGGUGGAUAACUUUCCGAAAGGAAGGCUAAUACAGCAUGAGACCACGGUUCCGAAAGGGACAGGGGUCAAAGCCGGCCAAUUCAUGAAAGCUGGUGCCAGAGGAUGAGCCUGCGGCCCAUCAGCUAGUUGGUAGGGUAAUGGCCUACCAAGGCGAAGACGGGUAGCUGGUCUGAGAGGAUGAUCAGCCACACUGGAACUGAGACACGGUCCAGACUCCUACGGGAGGCAGCAGUGGGGAAUCUUGCGCAAUGGGCGAAAGCCUGACGCAGCGACGCCGCGUGAGUGAUGAAGGCCCUCGGGUUGUAAAGCUCUGUGGAGGGGGACGAAUAAGGGUUGGCUAAUAUCCAACUUGAUGACGGUACCCCUUUAGCAAGCACCGGCUAACUCUGUGCCAGCAGCCGCGGUAAAAC